GGACAGAGUGCCUAAAGCUGUCUUGCAAACUAAGGAGAAGCCUGGUUCCUGGAGCAGCUCUGACUUACCUUCCCCAGAUUCCUUGGUCUAUAAAAAGCCCUUAUUUGGCUCCACUCUUCUGUUUCAAUCACAGAGGCAGUAAUAAGGCAUUUGCUGCAGUUCCACAAAAAUAGAAAAUUAUCUACUGACCACUCUCAGGCUAAACGAGAAAUGAAGUGAGAAAUUCUACCCAGGAAGAUACUUUGGAUUUCUGAAGGUCUGAUGUGGGAGCUUUUGUCCAUCUGUGCCUGGCUAAUGGCUGCAUGAUUCGUUGAAAUGAGGAGACAGCACAGUAGCAUUCUUCUUCAUCACAAAUCCUUGUUGCAGAGAACAAGAAAAAUAUUAAUUGAUGCAGAUUAAAGAAAAAUACCUACAGUAAUGAGUCGAUUCAGGAAUCUCCAAGGUCAUAGCAAUUUGAUUCCCAAGAACUUUAUUUUCUCAACCUUGCAGGGUGAAUUUUAGAAAUGACUAUGCAAAUAUGCUUCCAAUAAAUGAA